rnacentral:rRNA from 1 species
GAUGAACGCUGGCGGCGUGCCUAAUACAUGCAAGUCGAGCGAACAGACGAGGAGCUUGCUCCUCUGACGUUAGCGGAGGACGGGUGAGUAACACGUGGAUAACCCACCUAUAAGACUGGGAUAACUUCGGGAAACCGGAGCUAAUCCCGUAGAAGAUAUUGAACCGCAUGGUUCAAUAGUGAAAGUCGGCUUUGCUGUCACUUAUAGAUGGAUCUGCGCCGCAUUAGCUAGUUGGUAAGGUAACGGGUUACCAAGGCGACGAUGCGUAGCCGAACUGAGAGACGGAUCGGCCGCCCGGGAACUGGGACGGCGUCAAGGCUCCUACGGGAGGGAGCAGUAGGGAAUCGGCCGCAGUAGGCGAAAGCCUGACGCAGCGACGCGACGUCAGUUAUAGAGGUCUUCGGAUCGUGAUGCUCUGUUAUUGGGGGAAAACAAAUUUGUAAGUAAAUAUACACGUCUUGACGGUACCUGGUCAAAAAGCCACGGCUAACUACGUG